AGCUUUGCGCAGUGGCGAUAUCGUAACCAAUGAGGUACAACCGAGGUGCGAUUAUUGCUAGUUGAAAACUAAUACUAAUUUUUUCCUCCUAAUGACCUAUGCUGUCGGCUCCGACAGCAUAGGUCAUUAAAUUGACUUUACGCUUGUC